GCGAUCUUUCUUUCUCUCUUCGUUCCUUCUCUUUGUUUUUGUCUCAGCUCUGCGUUUUUGGGUAAUACAACGUGAUAUAUGUUUGGCCUAGGUAUAAAAGGUCUUGGGGUGAUUGACGCGAGCAUUUCCCUCUCUGUUUCUCUCUUCGUUGUAAGCUGUCGUCUCCGUAUCUGGAGAUUCUUGGGUGUGUGGCUGAUUUGGGCGAACAGACAGAUUCUUUUGUGGCUGAUUCUUGGGAGUUUCUACAUGACUGAAGGGAAUAAGGCUUGAAGCUUUACAAACAUUGCAGCCUGGGAGAAUAGGAGCUCUUGCUUGCUUGAAAGAAAAGAAGUGGAAGGAAUUGGAGACAUCUUUAGAUCAUCGCUGGAUAUAAUUGUUUGUAAUUAGAAAGGAAUCUGUGCGAAGCCUGAACAAAACAUAGAGCAUACAUUGCUUCGUCACAUAUGACCAUAUCAAAUUACUUUCAAAAUUAGAGUUCAUGCAUCCAGACUGUGGAGACCGAAAAAGUAUAACAGUGACAUAUACGAUGGCCUCCAUUAUCUGUUAGUCGACGAAGA